AGAGUUUGAUCCUGGCUCAGAAUGAACACUGGCGGCGUGCUUUAUACAUGCAAGUCGAACGCGAAAGUGUCUUCGGACGCGAGUAGAGUGGCAGACGGGUGAGUAACGCGUGAGAAUCUACCUUUUAGUGAAGAAUACUCUCGAGAAAUCGAGGUUAAUACUGCAUAAGUCCCUUCGGGGAGAGAGACGGCCUCUUUGCUGUCGCUAGAAGAUGAGCUUGCGUACUAUUAGCUUGUUGGUGGGGUAAAAGCUCACCAAGGCGGUGAUGGUUAACCGGCCUGAGAGGGUGUACGGUCACAUUGGAACUGAGACACGGUCCAGACUCCUACGGGAGGCAGCAGUAGGGAAUAUUGCACAAUGGGCGAAAGCCUGAUGCAGCGACGCCGCGUGGAGGAUGAAGGUCUUCGGAUUGUAAACUCCUGUUGAGUGGGAAGAAAAGCUUAUGGUUAAUACCCGUAAGUGUUGACGGUACCACUAAAGAAAGCUCCGGCUAACUUCGUGCCAGCAGCCGCGGUAAUACGAAGGGAGCAAGUGUUAUUCGGAAUUACUGGGCGUAAAGAGCGUGUAGGCGGCCGAUUAAGUCAGUUGUUAAAUCUCCCGGCCCAACUGGGAAACAGCAAUUGAUACUGGUCAGCUAGAGGGUAAGAGAGAGAAGUGGAAUUAUCGGAGUAGCGGUAAAAUGCGUAGAUCUCGAUAGGAACACCGAUGGCGAAGGCAGCUUCUCGGCUUACUUCUGACGCUAAAACGCGAAAGCGUGGGGAGCAAACAGGAUUAGAUACCCUGGUAGUCCACGCCGUAAACGAUGAUCACUAGAUAUGGGUUUUGUUUAACGAAAUCUGUGUCGUAGCUAACGCGUUAAGUGAUCCGCCUGGGGACUACGAUCGCAAGAUUAAAACUCAAAGGAAUUGACGGGGGUCCGCACAAGCGGUGGAACAUGUGGUUUAAUUCGACACUACGCGAGGAACCUUACCUAGACUUGACAUGUACCUGACCGCUGUAGAAAUACAGCUUUCCAAGCUUUGCUUGGACGAGCACACAGGUGCUGCAUGGCUGUCGUCAGCUCGUUUGUGAGAUGUUGGGUUAAGUCCUCUAACGAGCGCAACCCUUGCUGCCAGUUGCUACUCCUUCGGGAGGCACUCUGGUGGGACUGCCUAGGAAACUAGGAGAAAGGUGGGGAUGACGUCAAGUCCUCAUGGUCCUUACGUCUAGGGCCACACACGUGUUACAAUGGCUAGUACAGAGGGCAGCAAUACCGCGAGGUGGAGCUAAUCUCAGAAAGCUAGUCUAAGUUCGGAUUGAAGUCUGCAACUCGACUUCAUGAAGUUGAAAUCGCUAGUAAUCGCGUAUCAGAACGACGCGGUGAAUACGUUCUCGGACCUUGUACACACCGCCCGUCACACCACGAAAAUUCUUUAUACCCGAAAUCACCAUAGCUAACCUUUUAGGAGGCGGGUGCUGAAGGUAUGGGGAGUGAUUGGGGUGAAGU
rnacentral:rRNA from 1 species